UCCUCAUGGUCCUGCUUCACUCUUAGCAGAUGCAAAUGUGCAUACAGGAACACAUACACACACACACACACCACACACAUGCUCACACACACGCUCACACACACACACACGCUCACACACACACACGCUCACACACACACGCUCACACACAUGCUCACACCACCCUACAGACACCUGGGAAGCAGGCCUAUGCAAGCACACCUGUGGCUCCCUCAGGCCGCAGGGAGCAGGUGCCCAACUCUACACAAGUUCAUGGUUUCCCUGGUGUCUUCGCUGGGCCUUCUAUCUGCCCUGCUCUUCCCUCAACACCUCCUGUGGGGCUUAUAGCGUCCCUGAGCUCCAGGCUCAGCCUAAGGGCUGGGAUGUGAGACAAGGCAGCAAGAAGCAGAGAAAAGAAGGACAGAAAGGAGGAGAGGAAGAGGAAGGAGAUCAAAGCUGGGGCGGCCACGAUCUCUAUACCUUAUUCCC
rnacentral:lncRNA from 1 species